rnacentral:tRNA from 1 species
GGACCUAUAGCCAAGAGGAAAGGCAAGGGACUGCAACUCCCUGACCGUUGGUUCGAAUCCGACUAGGUCCUCCA